GGUUAGUUUACUAAUAGGGAAACCAAAGAAGGAGAUUACAUGGUUGGCUCAUUAAAUCCUGAUGCCUUUUUGCUACCAACUCCACAGUGGGCUCUUCCUGCCAAGUCUGAGGUAAAAAGAGGUUGUUUGCUCAACAGUUAAAUGUCAGGGACAGGACUGCAAAACCCUACUCUUAAUCACUGUAUUUUACCCUUACCUAGAGCAAGAAAGAGAAGUAGGUACAGCUGAUCUAAUCUCCUUGCCAGGAAAAGCCCACUGUAGAGUUGGUAGCAAAGAGGCAUCGGACAAAAUUCCGCUCUUUUACAUUAGGUUUCUUUUAGUAGCAGUUCAAUUUAUUAAAUUGUUGCAUCAAAACAAAGCAGAAGCCUGGCAUGUUGGCAACCCUGUAAUCCCAGGAGGAUGAAAAUUGGAGGCAAGCCUGCACUACAUACUGUAUGUAGCAAGACCCUGUCUCAAAAAAACAAAGAGCCAGAUGAGGUUGUACACAUCUGAAAUCCCAGCACUUGGGGUGCUGAAGCAGGAGGAUCACUGAGAGUUUGAGAGGCCAGUUUGCACUACAAAGCAAGAUCCUAUUUAAAAGAAAAAACAAAAACAGCUUGAACUCCAUAGUGAGACCCUGUCUCAAAAAACCAAACCGAAACAAAAAAACCAAAACAACAACAAAGCCCAACUCAUUUUCAUUGAUUUUAUAUUAUUAACAUUAUCCAUUGCCUUCUUCCAUAAGUAUUUACAUCUGUGAGGCAUACCCAGGUCAGCUGCUACUUCCUGGGUGAAGCUUUCACUUACAGAGAUUUCUCACAAGGUUCUGUGUUUUCUUUCAUGGCACUAAGAGCAGCUUGCAAUUACAGAUUUGACGGGGUUUUUUUUGGAUAAAUGACUCCAAUUCCUAGUUAGGUUUGUAAACUCCAUGAUAAAGUGGUUUGAGUUUGUGAAGUUUUACCUUGAAUGCCUGGCGCAUACAAGGUGCUUAAGAGUGUUUGGGUGGUAGUAGGAGAAGGGAGAGGAAGAAAGAAGACAAAAGGAUUAUGAAUAUAAGGGAUGGUAGAAGAAAGUAGGGAAACCCUUGAGCUCAUGUGAAAUAACGUCCUGCUUUGUUGCAGUCACAAACAUUAUAAUUAAUAAAAUUGAGAACUCUACCAACAGAGAAACAUGGCCAUCCUGUUCCAAGAAGAAUGAGAUUUCUGGACUGAGGAUUUAGCUCAGUGGUUUCGCUGCCUGCCUUGCAAGCGCAAGGACCCAAGUUCGAUCCCCGGUACAAAAAAAAAAAAACAAUGAGAUUUCUCAUUUCAUAGGUUAGUGCUUUGAGGGUAAAAUAAAUCAGGAGGAGUAAUUGGUUUAGUUCAUAUUUAGCAUUAAUGAGAUUUGUUGAAUGUGAAAUACUGGAAAGGAAAAAAUCUAAUCACGGCCUAAAGACUCCAGAUUUGUCAACCCACAAAGCAUCAAUGUAGCAAUACCCCAG
rnacentral:lncRNA from 1 species